CUGGCGCUCCCUGGGCCUUUCCAGCGUACUUCCCACCUGCAACAAGCGACCCAUCGUCGGCUCUGAUACCAACUGUAACGCCCCAGGAUUUUGUCCUCGCUCAUCCCGGUGCGUCGAGCACCAUACCACUCGCUAAUGUCAAUAUUGUCCCCCCUUUAGUCACUGCAGAUAUCCAGCAGUAGAGAGUUUUGGAUCAGGGCCCACCCAUCAGGUUUGCCACAAAAGGCUUUAACAUUAGUUAUAGUAUGGUUAAGCUCUAUAUACUACCAAUACAACCAUUUCCUUGGCAAUGUGGGACUAACACCAACUCAUAGGUGUUACAGACUUUCGUUGUUUAUAAUGACUUAAGGGACUUUUGUUGUUUUGUAAAGACUAAAGGGACUUUCGUUGAUCUUAAAAGACUUUUCUUUAUUCAUAGACCAAGGGACUUUCAUUGUUUACAGUCCAAGGGAAUUUUCUUUUCCAGGAUUCUCAUCGUGUUUAUAGUCCAAGGGACUGAGGGACUUUUGUAUAUCUUAGGUGUUUUUUCUUGUUUAUAGUCCAAGGGGUUUUCUUUUCCGACGUGCCUAAUUUGUUUGUAGUCCAAAAGACUAAGGGACUUCCGUUGUUUAUAGGGAAUUUUGUUAAUCUUAAGGGACUUUUCUUGUUUAUAGUCCAAAGGACUUUUCUCUUCCAACAUUCCCAUCUUGUUUAUAGUCCAAGGGACAGAAGGACUUUCGUUGAUUUUAAGGGACUUUCGUUCAUCUUAAGGAGCACAAUAAAAUAUCAACAUUGAUCAUAUAUAAUCAGUUCAUGGCUAUGGUACCACACUUAAGUAAUAAUAAUAGACUAUCUAUGGAACAAGCAUAUUAUGCAAAUUCAAACAUUGAGAGUUUGAGACAUUUUCGAAGAAACCACACCAACAAAUAAGAUAAUACACAAGAAAAAAAAUGUUUAUAGGCCAGGGGACUGAAGGAAUUUUGUUGAUCUUAAAGGACUUUUCUUGUUUAUAGUCCAAGGGACUGAGGGACUUUCGUUGAUCUUAAGGGACAUUUUUUGUUUAUAGUCCAAGGGACUUUUCUCUUCCAACAUUUUCAUCUUGUUUAUAAUCCAAAAGACUAGUGGACUUUCGUUGAUCUUAAGGGACUUUUUUUGUUUAUAGUCCAAAGGACUUCUCCCUUCUAACAUUUCCAUAUUGUUUAUAGUCCAAGGGACUUAAAGACUUUCGUUGAUCUUAAGGGACUUUUCUGGUUUAUAGUCCAAGGGACUGAGGGACUUUCGUUGAUCUUAAGGCUUUUAUCUUGUUUAUAGUCCAAGGGACUUUCGUUGCUCUCAAGGGUUUUUUCUUUUUUAUAGUCCAAGGGACAUUUUUUCCCAACAUUCUCAUCUUGUUUGUAGUUCAAAGGACUAAGGGACUUUCGUUGUUUAUAGGGACUUUCGUUGAUCUUAAGGGACUUUUCUUGUUUAUAGUCCAAGGGACUUGUCUUUUCAAACAUUCCCAUCUUUUUUACAGUCCAAGGGACAGAAGGACAUUUGUUGAUCUUAAGGGACUUUUUUUGUUUAUAGUCCAAAGACUUUUCUCUUCCAACAUUCCCAUCUUGUUUAUAGUCCAAGGGACUGAGGGACUUUUGUUGAUCUUAAGGGACUUUUUUUGUUUAUAGUCCAAAAGACUUUUCUCUUCCAGCAUUCUUAUCUUGUUUAAUUUAUAGUCCAAGGAAAUGAGGGACUUUCGUUGAUCUUAAGGGACUUUUUUUGUUUAUAGUCCAAGGGACUUUUCUCUUCCAACAUUCCGAUCUUGUUUAUUGUCUAAGGGACUGAGGGUCAUCCGUUGAUCUUAAGGAACUUUUCAUGUUUAUAGUCCAGGGGACUUUUCUCUUCCUGCAUUUCUAUCUUGUUUAUAGUCCAAAGGACUGAGGGACUUUCAUUGAUCUUAAUGGACAUUAAUUUCUUGUUUAUAGUCCAAGGAACUGAGGGACGUUCAUUGACCUUAAAGGACUUUUUUUGUUUAUAGUCCAAGAAACUUUUCUCUUCCAACAUUCUCGCCUUGUUUAUAGUCCAAGGGACAGAAAGACUUUCGUUGAUUUUAAAGGACUUUUCUUGUUUAUAGGACUUCUU
rnacentral:lncRNA from 1 species